rnacentral:rRNA from 1 species
UACGGAGGGGACUAGCGUUGUUCGGAAUUACUGGGCGUAAAGCGCACGUAGGCGGAUUUGUAAGUCAGGGGUGAAAUCCCGGGGCUCAACCCCGGAACUGCCUUUGAUACUGCGAAUCUCGAGUCCGGAAGAGGUGAGUGGAAUUCCUAGUGUAGAGGUGAAAUUCGUAGAUAUUAGGAAGAACACCAGUGGCGAAGGCGGCUCACUGGUCCGGUACUGACGCUGAUGCACGAAAGCUAGGGGAGCAAACAGG